rnacentral:rRNA from 1 species
UACGUAGGUGGCAAGCGUUGUCCGGAAUUAUUGGGCGUAAAGCGCGCGCAGGCGGUCCUUUAAGUCUGAUGUGAAAGCCCACGGCUCAACCGUGGAGGGUCAUUGGAAACUGGGGGACUUGAGUGCAGAAGAGGAGAGCGGAAUUCCACGUGUAGCGGUGAAAUGCGUAGAGAUGUGGAGGAACACCAGUGGCGAAGGCGGCUCUCUGGUCUGUAACUGACGCUGAGGCGCGAAAGCGUGGGGAGCGAACAGG